CUUCCCACCAACCCGCCCCACCCCACACAAGGACCCAUCGAGGAACCCUCGCCUCCUCUCCCCUCUGCCGCCUCUGAUCCCGUCGCCGAUGGAGACCUCGGCAGCUGCCUCCGCGCUGCCCACCCCGGUCUCCACGCCCUACUCGCGCCUCGCCUCCACACCGUCCUCCGCCCUCUCCGCCAGGCCGCUGCACCCCACCCCUGCCGCCGCCGCCUCCCGCACCAACGACUUGCCAGAAUCGUAGCCCUAAAUACGUCCCCACUGCCCUACCUCUCCCGGAGAGGACCCUCGAUCCCCACCUGAUGAAGCCCUUUCUGCUUUCUUUUCUCCGGUCCCGGGUGCCUUCACUUCGUCGCCGGCGUGACGGUAGCGGCUUCAUGUCGAGCUUGCUCCGCCUGUGGGAGGGGGGGGGGGGUGGCCGGUGCUUCGGUCGACCCCCACCCAUGUCUCCUUCGGUUUCGUCGUCAAUGCCGGGUUCCGAGUGUGCGCUGGGGGCUGGGGUGCCUCUGUGUCCCAACUUUGAUGUCGUGCGCAAGGUGUUUGCGCUAUUGCCGUCAGGCGUUGGACGCGUUGGCCGACUCAGCGGAGGCUCCUGCUGCCAACGCGGUGGAGAGACGCAAGAGAUCAGACGUGACUCGGCGGAGGCUCCUGCUACCAACUCGAUGGAGAGACGCGAAGACAUCUCCGGCUUGACGUGUCGACCGUGUCAGGGGCGGCUCCUGCUGUGGGCUUCUCCAGAGUGUCCUGUCGGAGAUCUGCCGGCCCGCGCAUUGAACUCUCGGUGGCGACAAGGAAGAUUAUCUGAAAAUCAAUGUGGAUGAAUCCUACCAGGAGAAUGCAAGCUCAAGUGGCUGGGGCCUCGUUAUCUGAUUGAUGGAAGUGAUGCGCCUCUCCUAUGACAUUGAUGCUGGAAUGAUUUGGGUGAAGCUGAAGACUGAUGCAAGCAGUCUGAAAACAGCUCUGACUUCCUCGACUUGCUAUUAUCCGAUCGUUACAGUUGGAACCUGCCACCAGAUUCAGUUUUACUGCUAAUAUGAAACUCAGCAAGCCAUAGUCGUAGGCUCCGCCGCCAUUAAAAAAAGGCGCUUUGCAUCAAGGUUUAUACUACUAAUAAUACGACAUAGAUGUGAUGGCAGCAGUGCCUAUAAUGGAAGUGAUCAUUUAAAUAGCUACCAUUUAGUAUCAAUUUCUUUUAGAACAAUUGCAAAGAAACCACUACUCCUGGUGUUAUUGUAAGCUUGCCACUAGAAAAUUGCAAAAAUACCAUUAAAACUGUCAUUCGAGUGGUAUCCUUGCAAAAAAUAAAAAACCAGGGAGGUAUUUGCAAAUGCCCCAUUUCUUUUACGUACUCACAUAAUAUGUUCCUGUUGCACAGGUACAAUCAAUGAUUCUUUAGGGAGGCAAAUGUUUCAAUCGAUGAUACGUGCAUGGUCAAUGGUGGAAUGCAAAGGUCAGAUGUGGAAGAUGUCGGCGCGGAAUAUGGCUUUGUGUUAGCACCAGGUGCAAAAAAGACCAGAUGGCUAGGCCUAUCGAUUCCUGAGCACUAAUACAACCAUUUUAUACCAUUGGUCAUCAACACUUUGUAAUCUGGAGCCAGAUACUUGGAAUGAGAUCCUUGCAGCCCAGUUGUAGCCUGUAGAUGAUUCAUGAUUGGGCAAAGAGCUAAUUGUCGAACUAGUUAAGCUCUUAUAUACAAUGAUUAGUAUUUUCUUAGCCUUUACUGCAGAGAUAUCCUGCUGUCAAGAAACACCAGGCAGCAGUAGAUUAUUUCGGAAGCGUGCUUUGUUGUAGCUAUAAGCCUAUGAGUUGGUUUUGUUGUGUAACAAGUUGUAUUUGCUUUACUGUGCAUGUUAGUUGUGUGUAUUGACCUUCAUUACUCAUUACCAAGCAGGAGUUUAUCUUGAACAAAACUUGUUUUUGAGGUGGACCACGCUGGUUGUAGCGUUCAGUCGUAUGGGAACUCUGUUUGGAAAGAAAUGUAUUUCUGAUCCAUGAGGUGUGAUUGGUGUGAGACAAAUUUGGGAUUGUUAC